UACAGAGGAGCCAAGCGUUGUCCGGAUUGACUGGGCGUAAAGCGCACGCAGGCGGUUGCGCGCGUGGGGUGUGAAAUCUGGCCGCUUAACGGCCAGGCGCCAUCCCAUACGGCGCGACUGGAGUGAUGCAGAGGUCGAUGGAAUUGCCGGUGUAGUGGUGAAAUGCGUAGAGGAUCGGCAGGAACACCCAGGGGGAAACCAGUCGACUGGGCAUCUACUGACGCUGAGGUGCGAGAGCGUGGGGAGCGAACCGG
rnacentral:rRNA from 1 species